rnacentral:rRNA from 1 species
CAGGUUUACCUGUGUGACUGCGUACCUUUUGUAUAAUGGGUCAGCGACUUAUAUUCUGUAGCAAGGUUAACCGUAUAGGGGAGCCGGAGGGAAACCGAGUCUUAAUUGGGCGUUAAGUUGCAGGGUAUAGACCCGAAACCCGGUGAUCUAGCCAUGGGCAGGUUGAAGGUUGGGUAACACUAACUGGAGGACCGAACCGACUAAUGUUGAAAAAUUAGCGGAUGACCUGUGGCUGGGGGUGAAAGGCCAAUCAAACCGGGAGAUAGCUGGUUCUCCCCGAAAGCUAUUUAGGUAGCGCCUCGUGAAUUCAUCUCCGGGGGUAGAGCACUGUUUCGGCUAGGGGGCCAUCCCGGCUUACCAACCCGAUGCAAACUGCGAAUACCGGAGAAUGUUAUCACGGGAGACACACGGCGGGUGCUAACGUCCGUCGUGAAGAGGGAAACAACCCAGACCGCCAGCUAAGGUCCCAAAGUCAUGGUUAAGUGGGAAACGAUGUGGGAAGGCCCAGACAGCCAGGAUGUUGGCUUAGAAGCAGCCAUCAUUUAAAGAAAGCGUAAUAGCUCACUGGUCGAGUCGGCCUGCGCGGAAGAUGUAACGGGGCUAAACCAUGCACCGAAGCUGCGGCAGCGAACGUAUCACCCAAGACAACUUUGCGGAGUUGACGAUUGACGGAGCGAAGCGACGUCAA